rnacentral:pre_miRNA from 1 species
UUGGUUUGUCUUAAGUUAAACUUGUCCAACUUUGACCAAAUUUAUAGAUUAAUAUAACAAUAUCUAUGCUACCAAGUAUAUACGCUAUCAAAAUAUAUUCUAUAGUGGAUUCAAUGAAACAAAUUUGGUAUUGUAGAUGUUUUUAUAUUUUUAUAUAAACUUAAGUCAAAGUCAAAUAAGUUUGACUUAGGACAAACUAAA